UCCUUGAUGGCUUAGUGGGAAGAAUCUGCCUGCCAGUGCAGGAGACACAGGUUUGAUCCCUGAUCCAGGAA
rnacentral:tRNA from 1 species